CAUUACGGUACUUAAUAUUAGGACCUUAGAAUGUAAGACUUAAAGCAUGUAACCCUGUGUGGACUGUUAUAGUAAUUAUUAUAGUGCCUAAUGUUAGAUAUAGGAAUACUGUGUGAGACCCAAGAAUGCACCCUUGUAACCCAACUAGUACUGGUAAACAACCUAUCUGAUGGGAACGCCCAAAGCCUGUACACACCCAUAGAUUAACAGACCCCGGGUGGAUCCACACAUGGCAGCCGCUGGUAACACACACACCAACGAAGACCACGCCUACAGAGGGGUAUAUAACCAGACAGUCUGAUCAACUCAGCAGCGCAUAGCUCUCCUGUCGCCAGAGCGUGAGGACCUGUGUGUGCUCACAUUUCGGUUCCCAGCAUGAAACUCUGCCCAAUUAACUGUCGAUUGAAGAAAGAGCCAGCAGCCAACGGCAUCGUCUACCCCUUUGUGUGUAUCAGUGAGCAUCACCGGGUGGAUGCUUCCCGGUGCCUGAGACCCAUCAGGAACUGCUAAAUUAUGACUACAGUGGAUGGAAGAAGACCAUGAAUCCAGGCAUUGCAAAGAAGAUAAAUAUGCAUGUCAAAAAAAGGAGAUCUCAGCCAAAGAGAAUAAUGACAGAGAAGAAACUCAUAAAAUGUUCUUACUGA